UACGGAGGGUGCAAGCGUUGUUCGGGAUCAUUGGGCGUAAAGCGCGUGUAGGCGGCUUGGCAAGUCAGUUGUGAAAGCCCGGGGCCCAACCCCGGAACUGCAUCUGAAACUGCUUGGCUCGAGUCCCGGAGAGGAAGGCAGAAUUCCCGGUGUAGGGGUGAAAUCCGUAGAUAUCGGGAGGAAUACCAGCGGCAAAGGCGGCCUUCUGGACGGUGACUGACGCUGAGACGCGAAAGCGUGGGGAGCAAACAGG
rnacentral:rRNA from 1 species